rnacentral:lncRNA from 1 species
UUGUGUUUUUGUUCUAAUUUAAAAUCAAGUGACUAAUCGUUACUAGCUACUUAAUACGUAAGUCAAGACACACCAUCUCUUCUUCUAUGUGUUUACUAUAUGAGCUUUAGUAGAAAUCAGAUUUAUUUUGGGUUCCUUGUUAUAUUGUAAAGACUAAUGUGCAGACCCCGAUCUAAAUGAUUUCGAUUUCGAUUGUUCAACUCAAUAGAAGAAACUAUAGAUUGAGAGACUGUGAGAUAAAUACUAGUGAAGGUAAGGGACCCCGUUAAUUGCUUUCACUAACCUUUUCUUGCAAGUACUUCAAUAUGCCUCAGAUUAUUGUAGGAACUUUUAGCUG